rnacentral:misc_RNA from 1 species
GAUGAAGAACGCAGCUAAAUGCGAUAAGUAAUGUGAAUUGCAGAAUUCAGUGAAUCAUCGAAUCUUUGAACGCACCUUGCACCCUUUGGCAUUCUGAAGGGUAUGCUCGUUUGAGUGUCAUUGUACUCUCACACUCCCGAUCUUUGCAUUGGGAGCAGUGGACUUGGGUUUGCUGCUUCACCGUCGCUUACCUCAAAUAGGUUAGUGCAACUCUUGGUUGGACAUAGUACGGCGUGAUAAGUGUUCUUCGCCGGUGCCUCGCAAAGAGGGUGGCCGAUCGGGAUGUUUGUGCUCCAAACCGUCUUCGGACAAUCUCUGACGACUUGACCUCAAAUCGAGUAAGACUACCCGCUGAACUUAAGCAUAUCAAUAAGCGGAGGA